UCAGAUUGAACGCUGGCGGCAUGCUUUACACAUGCAAGUCGAACGGCAGCGCGGGGCAACCUGGCGGCGAGUGGCGAACGGGUGAGUAAUAUAUCGGAACGUACCCAAGAGUGGGGGAUAACGUAGCGAAAGUUACGCUAAUACCGCAUACGAUCUAAGGAUGAAAGCAGGGGAUCUUCGGACCUUGUGCUCCUGGAGCGGCCGAUAUCUGAUUAGCUAGUUGGUGAGGUGAAGGCUCACCAAGGCCACGAUCAGUAGCUGGUCUGAGAGGACGACCAGCCACACUGGAACUGAGACACGGUCCAGACUCCUACGGGAGGCAGCAGUGGGGAAUUUUGGACAAUGGGCGAAAGCCUGAUCCAGCAAUGCCGCGUGAGUGAAGAAGGCCUUCGGGUUGUAAAGCUCUUUUGUCAGGGAAGAAACGGUGAGGGCUAAUACCCUUCGCUAAUGACGGUACCUGAAGAAUAAGCACCGGCUAACUACGUGCCAGCAGCCGCGGUAAUACGUAGGGUGCAAGCGUUAAUCGGAAUUACUGGGCGUAAAGCGUGCGCAGGCGGUCUUGUAAGUCUGACGUGAAAUCCCCGGGCUCAACCUGGGAAUUGCGUUGGAGACUGCAAGGCUAGAAUCUGGCAGAGGGGGGUAGAAUUCCACGUGUAGCAGUGAAAUGCGUAGAGAUGUGGAGGAACACCGAUGGCGAAGGCAGCCCCCUGGGUCAAGAUUGACGCUCAUGCACGAAAGCGUGGGGAGCAAAC
rnacentral:rRNA from 1 species